UAAUGUAUGGGGAUCUGCCCGAUAGAGGGGGAUAACUACUGGAAACGGUGGCUAAUACCGCAUAAUGUCUACGGACCAAAGCAGGGGCUCUUCGGACCUUGCACUAUCGGAUGAACCCAUAUGGGAUUAGCUAGUAGGUGGGGUAAAGACUCACCUAGGCGACGAUCUCUAGCUGGUCUGAGAGGAUGAUCAGCCACACUGGGACUGAGACACGGCCCAG
rnacentral:rRNA from 1 species